rnacentral:tRNA from 1 species
UUAAUUGAAACUAAUAAUUUAAGUAUUUCACUGUUAAUGAAAAUAAAGGUUUAUAAACCCAAUUAAA